UGAAUACAAUACAAUAACAUUGAAUGUUCAAACUGAUAAUUAUUAUUUGCAAACAUUCAUUCAUUUUGGAUUUAAUACCUGAAACUGCAGAAAAAGCUGUGACAGUGGCUGGCUUACCACAGUAACCUCACCCUUUUAAAAAAUGCUCUGUAUAGGAACUGAGGACACUAAUUGUUCAAGUUUUGUAGGUGGAAUUCUUUGCCAUUCUUGCUUGAUGUACAAUUUCAGUCGCUCAACAGUCUGGGAUCUCCAAUGUGGUAUUUUGCGCUUCAUAAUGCGCCACACAUUUUCAGUAGGAGACACUGUGGACUCCUGGCAGGCCAGUCUAGUACUUGCACUCUUCUACUAUGAAGCUACGGUGUUGUAAUGUGCAGACUGUGGCCUGGCAUUGUCUUGGUGAAAUAAGCAGGGAUGUGCCUGAAAAAGACAUUGCUUGGUUGACAGCAUAUGUUGCUCCAAAACAUGUUUGUACCUUUCAACAUUAACAGUGCCUUCACAGAUGUGCAAGUUACCAAUUCUAUGGGCACUAACACGCCCCCAUACCAUACCCCAUAACACAGAUGCUGGCUUUUGAACUUUCCACUGAUAACAGUCCGGACAGUCCUUUUCUUCUUUGACCCCGGAGGACACGACAUCCACAAUUUCCAAAACCAAUUUGAAAUGUGGACAUGUUACUUUAACACUUUGCGUCAGUCCAUUUCAGAUGAGCUCGGGCCGAGGGUGUUGUUGAUAUGAGGUUUAACUUGCAUUUGUAGAUGAUGAACUAAUUUAACUGACAAUGGUUUUCUGAAGUGUUCCUGAGGCCAUGUGGUAAUGGUCUAUAGAAUAAUGCAAUUUUUUUUAAUGCAUUGCUGCCUGAGGACUCAAAGGUUAUGGGUAUUCAAUGUUGGUUGUCGGACUUAUUGAGGUUUCUCCAGAUACUCUGGAUCUUUCGAUUGUAUUGUGGACCAUAGAUGAUGAAAUCCUGAAAUUCCUUGCAGUUGUAGGUUUUAAAAAAUGUUCUUAAACUUUUGGAGUAUUUUCUCACGCAGUUGUUCACAAAGUGGUGAACCUCGCCCCAUCCUUGCUUGUGAACAACUGAGCAAUUUAGGGAAGCUCCUUUUAUACCCAAUCAUGAGACUCACGUUUCCAAUUAACCAGUUCACCUGUGGGACGUUCCAAACAGGUGUUUUUUGAGCGUUCAAUUUUCCCACUCUUUUGGUUCCUGUCUCAGCUUUUUGGGAAUGUGUUGCAGGCAUCAAAUUCAAAGUAAGAUAAUGUUUGGAGAAAAAAAAAAAAAAAAGUUCAUCAGUGAAGAUUACACAUCUUUGCAGUGCCUUCAGUUGAAAAGGAUUUGUAAAUCAUUGUAUUGUGUUUUUAUUUACAUUUUGGACAAUGUCCCAACUUCAUUGGAAUUGGGGGUUAUAUAACAUCACCUGCUUUGGGUGAAUAAAUCCCUUUGCCACUAUUUGAAUUAAUACAGUGUCUGAUAAAUGUGGAAAAUUAAACAAACUGCACAGCAAAGCAUAUUUUGACCAAAUACUGUAGUCACUAAAGAUGGGUACACACAUAAUGACUUUCAACAUCUUAACCCAUUUAAACAAAAAAAGUGAGACACCACACAUGAGGAAUAAGUCGGUGUGUGCUUACUGCUGUUAUAGUGUGUCGUGUUCUUGAAAUGACCAACACCCCACAUUCCACACAACUAUAUUGCCACCGGCAAUGAGGUUUCCUGCCCUACCCAAAAGUCAGUUGUAGUACCGAGGCUGACCUGUAAGUGGCAGCACGGUUUGAUCGCAAGGGAACGACUCAAAUUGGGCCGGAUUAUUGGUAUGGUUGUACCAUUUAACAUUUACGAUUGUCGCCCCAACUGUUUAAAAAAACAUUUCUUACAUUUCUUACAACAUUUCUGCAGUCACCCCACCACAGGAUAUAUAAUUGCUUGGAAUGCUCAAAUUUGGCCCGAUUGUAUGUGAUUACCCUGCUUUAGUCCACGUUGAGGUAAGUGAGCUGUGAAUUACUGUUAGUAAUUACUUACAAUUAGUUACUGUUUCCCUGCCACUUGAUAACCUUUCCUGUCUGAGCUCUAAAAUAUUGUUGUUGUUAUGUCCCUGCUAGUUGAUGACUCUUCCCGUCCAGGAUUCGUCCACCUCAAAACUGGUCUGGGGGCCAUGUGUGUAAAUCCAGGUCAGCCGGGGCGCACGACCCCUUACCCCGACGCGUUCCAAAUGCGACCGAGAGAGAGAGCGCAAACCUUGUGGCCUCCCCCUGACGGGCAGCAUCCAGAGCCAAUGGGACGAGGUGGCCUCCGAGAUGUCGGCGUGUGUUUUGCGAACGUGUACGGGCAUGUCCCCUCUCGACCGUGCCAGUCUGUCAUCCAUAACCCUGGAAAAUCCACAUAGGAAGAAUACCUUUCUCAACCCACACAUCCCGCAAUAUCAUCAUUCUGCUCCAAGACAUAAAUGUUCAUGCGAUGAGUGCAAUUUAGGAAGCAACCUGAUCCCCAUUAGCAAACAUUGGCACUGUCCUGUUCUAAUUGUGUUUUUGGCCAAUUAGACAAACAGAGACGGCAACAGGAAAUGAGACGAAAUGUGAUUACUUCCAAUCAUUUCUAUUCAUAUGUCUUUUUUUUUUUUUUUUCUCCUCUGCUGAGUUGUCUCACCCCUGCUCUUGUGUUUGCUUGUUGUGAAAAAAAAGCGAUAAGAGAACAUGACAAGACAAGCUUCACAGGAAUAUAAUACUGGACUUUGUGUCUGUAUGACUGCAUUAUUAUAUGGCUUCCUGCUGGUCAAGGCUGGUACACCAUAAGGAGCAGCACAAUGAAUUGAGUUGCAGCAUUAAAUUUUGAUGCAAACUGUCUCAU